UUGUCGUCAGCUCGUGCCGUGAGGUGUCGGGUUAAGUCCCAUAACGAGCGCAACCCUUAUCGUUAGUUGCCAGCUGGUAAAGCAGGGGACUCUAGCGAAACUGCCACCGUAAGGUGAGAGGAAGGUGGGGAUGACGUCAAAUCAGCACGGCCCUUAUGUCCAGGGCUACACACGUGUUACAAUGGCCGGCACAGAGGGCAGCUACCUGGUGACAGGAUGCUAAUCUCGAAAACCGGUCUCAGUUCGGAUCGAAGUCUGCAACUCGACUUCGUGAAGCUGGAUUCGCUAGUAAUCGCGCAUCAGCCAUGGCGCGGUGAAUACGUUCCCGGGCCUU
rnacentral:rRNA from 1 species